rnacentral:rRNA from 1 species
GUCUCAAAGAUUAAGCCAUGCAAGUCUAAGUAUAAGCUUUUAUACAGCGAAACUGCGAAUAGCUCAUUAAAACAGUUAUAAUUUACACGGUGACAUUAUUAGAUGGAUAUCCAUGGUAAUUCUGUGGCUAAUACAUGCGAAAAAUUCCGACUCACGAAGGAAUGCAUUCAUUGUAUUUAGUAACCAACAUAAGAGUGAACACAGUGAAAUAGCGGAUCUCGUUUCGAGACAGACCGUUCAAGUUUCUGACCUAUCAGCUUUGGUCGGUAGGGUAUUGGCCUACCGAGGCAUUGACGGGUAACGGGGAAUUAGGGUUCGAUUCCGGAGAGGGAGCCUGAGAAACGGCUACCACAUCUAAGGGUGGCAGCAGGCGCGCAAAUUACCCAAUCCCGACACGGGGAGGUAGUGACAAGAAAUAGUGGCUUGGGGUAUUUACUUCAUGACCGCAAUGAGUAGAAUGUAAAAUCGUCUACGAGAACCAAUUGGAGGGCAAGUCUGGUG